rnacentral:lncRNA from 1 species
GACAACACAACUGUCAGGGAGCCAAGGCAUAGGUCACCCGAGUGCUGUGACACUGACCUAGACGAUGGCGUUCCGACAUUCACCACAAACUUGAGCCAAGUCACAUCAAUAGCUUCUUGGUGGAGGAGAUCUCCGGUGGCUUUGUCAUGGAGACUGGCGACAUUGUUGAUGUCGUUUUGGCAAGGAGGAGGUGGUCGGUGGUGACGAGGGGUGGAGGAGAGAUCGUGGCUGCAGCGGAUCUAGGCCGACGGCGUCGUCUAUGAUGUUGGUGAGGGGGAGC